GCCCCCCUCAAGAUGAGAUUUCCCAAGUCAGUAAGACCCCUUGAAGACGACGAGGUAGAUAGGUUGGAGGUGGAAGCACGGCAACGUGUGGAGCUGACCAAUACUAAUCGGUCGAGGGCUUAUCCAAAUAAC
rnacentral:rRNA from 1 species